rnacentral:lncRNA from 1 species
ACACCAAAUGCCUUACAGCAGAGCUACAGUUUAUUCUCUCUUUGAAGAAAUUCCUCUCCUGAUAGAAUGAAUCUUAGAGUAGAAUAUUACAACAUUGAUUUCUUACACUACCUAUGUGUCAUUUCUUCCUUAUUUCCUUAAUUGCUGGUUCCCUCAACAUUGAAGAGAGCAGAUCAAUUGGGUUAAUACUAGAGAUUCCUGGGAGCCAGAGUACCAUUGAUUUGUCAGCAGGAGCAGAAUCUUACCUUCCCUAAGUUUUUGGUUCCCUCUUCAACAUUCACAGCAGCACUGUUGACAUGGUCUGCAAUGCUGUCAAUCUUCUCCUGCUGAGACUAGAUGCAAAGGAAUUAUGAGUGAGCGGUCCUGCUGGGGAGCAGCAGGGAGCCAACACACACUAUUUUAAUUCCUGUAAUCAGGGCCCUGGGUACUGCAGCCUUGCCAUCUUAAUAGUGGUUCAUUAAUAGCAUCUGAUAAGCCAUGUCGAAAGGACAAAUUAACUUUCAUAAAAAAAAGGGGGGGGUCUUAAUUAUUAGGUAAUAAAAGGGUGGCAACUUUACAGCAAAAAGCAUCUCACGCUAAAAUUCACUCAAACAUACAAACAUAUUAUUCUCCAAAUGAAUCUACUUUCCAGAAAAAAAAAAUCCAAAUAAGCAUUUACAUGUCAUGUUGGGUUUGAUGGAAAAAAAAAACCCAACAAAAUCAAACCCCAAAAUACCUCCCUAACUUACCUUCUUUGAGGAUUCAGUUUAAAUCAGGCACAUUUACCUUAGGAGUAAAAUGCCCUUGGUCCAAUAAAUACAAAUUGUUAUGUUUCAGGAACAAGACUACAAUACGGUUUGAUCUAUUAUGAGAUCUUUCCAUUUGUAAUAUGCAGUAGGGAACAGUGAAUGAAAUCACUGUUCUGUGCUUUACACCUGUGUAUCUUAAUACAUUUUAAAAUCAUGACAGUUUAAAAUGUUUCAGAUCAAAUAUAUUAAUAAAGCAUUCUACAUAAAAUGGCAACACCUGUGCUGGCACAACAGCAACUGUGACUCAUGGAAUCUCUGGGUAGAAGGAAUGUUGAGGUCAUCAGGUCAAUCUCCUCUCUGAUGUGCGAAGCCCUACUGUAACAUUCCUGACAAGUGGUUACUGAACCUCUGCUCAGAUACCUCCAGUGACACGAACUCAUUACUUGCUGUAGGAACACAUUCCCAUUUUUAAUUCAACUUUAUUUAGAUAGAAUUUACAUAUAACAAGUACUGCUUUUAAUGGUAUAGUAUGAUGAAAUUUAGCAAAUGUAUAAACCAACUAUCACAAAUGUAUAAACAACAAAUGUAUAAGCCAACAUAUAAUCAACCAUCACAGUUUACAGACUAUUUUGGUUUUGUUUUUUUAAUGUGCAGAAAAAAGAGAAUCUCUCUUUGAUCCUAGAUAGAUGCCACCUGCAAUGAGGGUGAAAUAAUUCAACUUUAAUCCUGAAGUGUUUGAUUGCCCUUAUAUAAUUGGCCUAUUCAUUUAUAUUGAGGCAGACACAUACAACACUUUUCUAAUUCCAACCAUUAUUUCAUUUGAAAACAUGAAGCCCAAACCACACAGCUACUUUUUCCCCAUGUUUGUUUCCUCUUAGCAUUACUGAUAUUACUUCCCUUCUCAUACACAAAAUAUGUCUAUCUUCGCCAUUGUGGUAUCCCUUCAUUCCAAUAUUCUCCACCACUAUCUUGACAUCUCUAAAACAAUGCCUAAGAAAGUCCCUUAUCAGUUUUCCUUUGAAUGUCUCUGUGAGAGACAACUUUAACAAUGGUUCUCAGUCUUCCACCUGGAGGCUUCUUAAAACACAGAUUGCUGGGCCUAAUCCCCGGAGUUUCUGAUCCAGUAGGCCUGGGAUGAAGCCUGAGCUAGUAAGCUCCCAGGUGAUGCUGAUGCUGCCAGUCCACAAUUCUCACACUUUAAGAACCACUAUUAUAUGUGCUCAGAUCAAGGGCACCACCUUUAGUCAGAUAAUCUGUGUUCAAAUCUCAGCAAACGCCACUAUGUGCUCUUAGACAAAUUACUCAAGCUCUCUAGGUGUUGGUAUUCUCAUUUAUCAAGUAAGAAUAGUGAUACUUAUACCUUCAUAGAGUUGAAGUGGGGAUAAAAUGUGUUUGCAAAGUGUGAGGGGGGAAAAAUAGAAAAAUUUAUCCUAAUUUCCCCAAGGAAGUGUUAACUCUCAUCUCUCUAUCAAAAAAUAUAUUUAACUUUUUCUUUCGGUGCUUGAAAAUUCUAGGACACUAAAACUUCAGGUAUCUUUUAGCAUUCAUUCAAUCAUUCAAUUUUUAUUUUCCUCAAUAGCAAAACUUAUUUAAGUCAGCUUUCUUUUUCUGACCCAUAGAAGAAAAAGUUCCAGCACUAAUAAUAUACAACUUGUCUAGAUUUCUGACACCCUAUCAUUGUUUCUAUUUAGGACACCCCCAACACUUUCCACUCUUGCCUGAAACAGUCUAUGCUAGCAGAUAAAUCACAGGCUUAAAACUCUACCAUCAGCCGUCAUAUGUUGAUGAGUUGAAAGGUAGAGGAAAAAUAGUCAGUGUCUCCCUUCCUUCAGCCCCAAAAUAAUUCCAGCAAGAGGGAGGAGCCUGCCAGGAUUAUUGCCAUUUCUAUACCCCAAGUGUAAUCGUAAAGCCUCAGGGAAAUACUUUCUAAUGUUCCUUCCUUUAAAAAGGGUUGGAUAUUGUACUUCUAUGACUUUUUAAAAAUUAAAGCAAAAUUUUAAAAUAAUUUAAAUAUUUUUUCAUAAAAAUCAUUUGGAAUAACUGAAGAAGCAACCACAGGCAAAAAACCAAUCCUGAGAUCACUAAUUAUUUGAACUACAAAGUUCCCCAUCAUUGCAAUCACCAGCAUUUGAUGAGGCCCAUCCCACCCUGGGGAGUAGCCCACAUCUAUAAGUAUUUAUUCAUGCCAUCAGAAAGCAUGCUAAGAUAUGGGGCUGGGGUGUGGGAAUAAGGCAGAGGGCAGACAGCCCCUAUCCUGGGAUCAAUAAUCACCCCUCGAUUGUGCACGUCUGCCUUUCUCUUGUCCGUAUUUUGCUUGGUUUGCAACUUCAAACUUUGCCCAUAUCUUCAAAUUCUGCUUCUUGAGUAAGGAGGACUCACUGACCCCCACAAAGGUUACAGUUAGGCAGCAAACUAUUGUCACAGAGUUGUCAAUUACCAUCAGCAGAAUGCCAAACCAGACUCCAUACAGAGCUGAAUUGGGUCACUACCUGUCCACUAUGUCCUUGGCUCUUUUUGUGGGACCAAAAGAUACAUAUACAACCCUGCCCCAGCCUGUGAAAUCAAGCUCUAAACAUUAAUGGUGGUGCAGGAGCCUCCUAACCUCUAUCUAUCAAUCUCCCCUGAGGUUUUGCUUCUGAUUUGCUCAUGUUUAUUUUCAUCUGCUUAGGCCUCCCACAUUUGACAAUCUUCAAAUUCCAUACCUGCCAUUUUAUAGUUUGGCACCCCAUAUAUGUUCUCAGCAUUCCUUUAACAAUGAGCUAAACCAUAUUUAAGUGUUUAGCUCAUUACACUGCAGUGUUUCUCAAGCUAGAGUAAUAUACUGACCUCCUUUUACAGAAAAAGAAAAUUCUCAAAUGACUCUAAGAAUAUGUCUACGGAUUUCAUUUUAAAGAACAUUGAAUUAAGUCCCCCUAUUGGCCUGAACAUAACAAAUCUUGACGAACAGCUAUAGGAGUACCUAAGUUUCUGUAUAAACUGUGAUUUAUUAUACUUGUCAAGCAGAAUGCAAUUUGGGAAUAUAAAUUCAAAACCAAUGAACUGUUUUGUUCUUGAAUGCCUGUUGGGGACACUUGUAGGCCUAGCAUCCUCUAUGUCAAGCAAUAAUAAUACAUUCAAAAAUUAACCCCCAAAUCCAUUUAUAUCAUUAACAGUGGUCUUCCAUAGAGAGUUCUGAUAGUAGUUGUAAAGUUUAAGGUUCUUGGAAAGCUACGAGUUUAUUUAAGAGGGUAAUACCAAAACUCCAGGUACGUCCAUUUAUUCCUCUCUAAAUUCCAGCCAGCCUUCAAGGCCAAGUUCUAAUCUUAGAUCUUGACCAAUCCUGUUCACAUUGAGCUAUUCUGGUUCUAAACUCCUAUGAUAUAUUCUAUAUACUCCUUAAUCAUAUGCAAUCAUAUACACAAAAAGGCCCAGAAACAAACUUAUAAAUACUAUGAUAUAUAGGCAAAAUAAGUGAUUAUAUUGGCUUCGAGUAAGCAAUAAGCAGAGUAGAUAAGUAGGAUGUUGCUAACAGAGGAUUCAGCAGUUGGAAAGGGACUGAAGGAAUUCCAGUACUAAAAUGCCUAAGGAUAAUAGUGGUGGAAAAAGUAGAAUUUUUGCAAGGAGCCAAACAAGGAAUGAAAAUAAAGGAAGGACAAAAGUGGGAAUGCAGUUGGGGUCAGUGGAAGGGAACAGAAUGGGAAGUACUUAAUAAUACACAUUACCUCAUUUAGUCCUCCCAUCAGUGUUAUAAAGCUCAUUGUUGUCAAAUAACAUCCUGAAGGUCACAUAGGUAAUAAAUGAAGGAAUCUGAUCUAAUCCAUUGCAACCAGUUUUUAUGUUUCCAGAGUAAAACUGGAUUACAAAAACGACAGGGAAUAAGGCAAAAGGCAGAAGUCAAAACAGACUAGCAGCAAGGGUGAGUUGUUACUGAACUACUGGCCCAGGGUUCUUUAAAUUCUCCUUGACUAGAAAUAGGGCUAGUUACAAAGUUAUAGGGAGAGAAGAGGGCACUUGAACAACAAAGGCUGAAGAAAAAUAGAGCAGGGUACCUAGUAGAUAUUAAUUUAUUAACAUUUAUUGUACUAUACCUUGAUCUGUCAAUGGCUUUGUAAGUUCUUUUUAUAGUGGUAAAAUAAAUAUAACAUAAAUUUACCAUUUUAACCAUUUUGAAGUGUACAAUUUAGUGGCAAUAAGUAACUUCACAAUAUUGUGCAACCACUAUUACUAUCUUGUAAGUUUUUUAAAUGCUUUUUUCUAUUCCUCAUUAAGCUUAGCACAGUGCUACGCAGAUAGAAAGUGUUCCUUAAAUACAUGGUUAAUUUGUCUAGACACUAUCAUGUCCAUGUGAUGAUAAUGAGAGGAUGUGGUCACUCUGGUUAUGUUCCUAGGUCAUUCUGUGCCUAAAUAGAGCUUCUGUGAAUCCUUGGCCAUGUGGUCAUGAGAACUUAGUCACCCUGGGAAUAAUAAUCAGGGGUUCUCCUUUGAGCUUUUGCUUAUUAGCAUUCUGUCUCAUGUACUUAAACAGAUUAUUACAAACAGGACAUUUGUAUAGAGCUGUGGCUACAGCCAGAGUUUUCCUACACAAAUCUCCCUUAGAUUAGAGGUUAUGAGCUGCUUACAUAAUAUAAUCAAACAUGUAACUAUCUUAUGGUCACAGACCUUUAAUAUUUCUUUUAUGUGCCUAUCCCAGUAGAAAAGAAAUGUGUUUGUACUGAGUAAGAACUUUGUACAUGUGUAGUUUGUUUUUUAAAAUCAGCUUUAUUGAGGUAUAAUUUACAUAUAUUAAAACACAUUUUAUGUGUACAGACCAAUGACUUUUGGCAAGUGUAUAUAUUUGUGUAACCAUACAUGUAUAGGUUUUACAAACUGCACUGGAUUCAGAG